rnacentral:rRNA from 1 species
AACGAACGCUGGCGGCAUGCCUAACACAUGCAAGUCGAACGAGCCCUUCGGGUCUAGUGGCGCACGGGUGCGUAACGCGUGGGAACCUGCCCUUUGGUUCGGAAUAACUCCCCGAAAGGUGUGCUAAUACCGGAUAAUGUCUUCGGACCAAAGAUUUAUCGCCUUUGGAUGGGCCCGCGUCUGAUUAGCUAGUUGGUAGGGUAAAAGCCUACCAAGGCGACGAUCCAUAGCUGGUCUGAGAGGAUGAUCAGCCACACUGGGACUGAGACACGGCCCAGACUCCUACGGGAGGCAGCAGUGGGGAAUAUUGGGCAAUGGGCGAAAGCCUGAUGCAGCCAUGCCGCGUGAGUGAUGAAGGCCUUAGGAUUGUAAAGCUCUUUUACCCGGGAUGAUAAUGACGGUACCGGGAGAAGAAGCCCCGGCUAACUCCGUG